rnacentral:rRNA from 1 species
UACGUAGGGGGCAAGCGUUUUCCGGAUUUAUUGGGCGUAAAGAGCGUGUAGGCGGCCAGACAGGUCCGUUGUGAAAACUCGAGGCUCAACCUCGAGACGCCGAUGGAAACCGUCUGGCUAGAGUCCGGAAGAGGAGAGUGGAAUUCCUGGUGUAGCGGUGAAAUGCGCAGAUAUCAGGAAGAACACCCGUGGCUAAGGCGGCUCUCUAGUACGGUACUGACGCUGAGACGCGAAAGCGUGGGGAGCGAACAGG